GAGUUUGAUCGUGGCUCAGAGCGAACGCUGGCGGCAGGCCUAACACAUGCAAGUCGAACGAACUCUUCGGAGUUAGUGGCGGACGGGUGAGUAACACGUGGGAACGUGCCUUUUGGUUCGGAAUAACUCAGGGAAACUUGUGCUAAUACCGAAUGUGCCCUUCGGGGAAAGAUUUAUCGCCAUUAGAGCGGCCCGCGUCUGAUUAGCUAGUUGGUGAGGUAAAGGCUCACCAAGGCGACGAUUCAGUAGCUGGUCUGAGAGGAUGAUCAGCCACAUUGGGACGUGAGACACGGCCCGAAA
rnacentral:rRNA from 1 species